rnacentral:tRNA from 1 species
GCCCUCGUAGCUCAAUUGGAUAGAGCAGUUCCGUCCUAAGGAAAAGGUUGUGAGUUCGACUCUCGCCGAGGGUACCA